UGCCAGACUCCUACGGGAGGCAGCAGUGGGGAAUAUUGCACAAUGGGGGAAACCCUGAUGCAGCAACGCCGCGUGGGUGAAGGAGCGUUUCGGCGCGUAAAGCCCUGUCAGCGGGGAAGAAGAAAGACGGUACCCGACCAAGAAGCCCCGACUAACUACGUGCCAGCAGCCGCGGUAAUACGGAGGGUGCGAGCGUUAUCCGGAUUUACUGGGUGUAAAGGGAGCGUAGACGGCAGCACAAGUCUGAAGUGAAAUGCCGGGGCUUAACCCCGGAACUGCUUUGGAAACUGUGCAGCUAGAGUGCAGGAGAGGUAAGUGGAAUUCCUAGUGUAGCGGUGAAAUGCGUAGAUAUUAGGAGGAACACCAGUGGCGAAGGCGGCUUACUGGACUGUAACUGACGUUGAGGCUCGAAAGCGUGGGGAGCAAACAGGAUUAGAUACCCCCGUA
rnacentral:rRNA from 1 species